UCGGGAAUUUUGGGCAAUGGGCGAAAGCCUGACCCAGCAACGCCGCGUGAGGGAUGAAGUAUUUCGGUAUGUAAACCUCGAAAGAAUGGGAAGAAUAAAUGACGGUACCAUUUAUAAGCUCCGGCUAACUACGUGCCAGCAGCCGCGGUAAUACGUAGGGAGCAAGCGUUGUUCGGAUUUACUGGGCGUAAAGGGCGCGUAGGCGGCGCGGUAAGUCACUUGUGAAAUCUCUGAGCUUAACUCAGAACGGCCAAGUGAUACUGCUGUGCUAGAGUGCGGAAGAGGCAACCGGAAUUCUUGGAGUAGCGGUGAAAUGCGUAGAUAUCAAGAGGAACACCUGAGGCGAAGGCGGGUUGCUGGGCCGACACUGACGCUGAUGCGCGAAAGCCAGGGGAGCAAACG
rnacentral:rRNA from 1 species